GAAGAGAUGGCUGAGUGGUUUAAGGCGAUAGAUUGUAAAUCUAUUAAUACAUAGUUAUAACCAUAGGUUCGAAUCCUAUUCUCUUCA
rnacentral:tRNA from 1 species